rnacentral:rRNA from 1 species
AUGGCGUCCGGUGGCUCUGGCUGCACCGCCACGGCCGGAGCCGCGGCGCUGCUGUCUCUGGUGUUCUUGUGGCUGCUGCAGGCCUCAGCGGGCGCGGGCGCGGGCGCCGACUGCCACUUCCCGGCCGUGUUCAACUUCGGCGACUCCAACUCGGACACGGGCGGGCUGUCGGCUGCCUUCGGCGCCGCGCCGCCGCCCAACGGCAGGACCUUCUUCGGCAUGCCCGCCGGCCGCUACUGCGACGGCCGCCUCGUCAUCGACUUCAUCGCUGAAAACCUGGGAAUACCUUACCUAAGUGCGUACCUCAACUCAGUAGGAAGCAACUUCUCACAGGGGGCCAAUUUCGCAACAGCCGGCUCGACAAUCAGCCGACAGAACACAUCCCUGUUUCUCUCCGGGUUCAGCCCCAUCUCCUUGGACGUGCAGUCCUGGGAAUUCGAACAGUUCAUCAACAGAAGCCAGUUCGUGUACAACAACAAAGGUGGCAUCUAUAGGGAGCUCCUGCCAAAGGCCGAGUACUUCUCCCAGGCGCUCUACACCUUCGACAUCGGCCAAAACGACAUCACCGCGGGCUACUUUGCAAACAUGACCACUGAUCAAGUCAUAGCGUCGAUUCCUGAACUCAUGGAGAGGCUCACCUCAAUAAUCAAGAAUGUGCAUGAGCUCGGAGGAAGGAACUUCUGGAUCCACAGCACGGGGCCUAUUGGCUGCCUGCCUUACGCUCUCAUUCACCGCCCCGACAUUGCCGCGGUCAAGGACAAGGUUGGCUGCUCCGUCACCUACAACAAGGUUGCGCAACUCUUCAACCAGAGGCUGAAGGAAACGGUGGCUCGUCUCCGGAAAACCUACCCCGACGCCGCGUUCACCUACGUCGACGUCUACGCCGCCAAGUACAAGCUGAUCAGCCAAGCCAGCAAGCUAGGUAAUGCAUGCACCAUGGCUUAUCUGUGUUGCGUGGUGUCUUGGAGAAAGCUGAGGCUGGCGUUCUUGUCUGCAGGCUUCGACGACGCUCUGCUCACCUGCUGCGGGCACGACGCUGGCCCGUACAACUUCGACCCGAAGGUUGGUUGCGGCGGGAAGGUGCUGGUGAAGGGGAAGUGGGUGGUGCUGGGAAAGUCCUGCGACGACCCGUCCAGGAGAGUGAGCUGGGACGGCGUCCACUUCACUGAGGCGGCGAACAAGUUUGUCUUUGAUCAGAUCGUCGGCGGCGGGCUCUCGGACCCGCCGGUGCCCCUAAGGCAGGCUUGCCGGAGCAAAGGGCAGUGA